AGCGCAACCCUCGACCUUAGUUGCCAGCAUUCAGUUGGCACUCUAAGGUGACUGCCGGCUAAAGUCGGAGGAAGGUGGGGAAUGACGUCAAAUCAUCAUGCCCCUUAUGACCUGGGCUACACACGUGCUACAAUGGGCGGUACAAAGGGUCGCGAACCCGCGAGGGGGAGCCAAUCCCAAAAAAGCCGCUCUCAGUUCGGAUUGCAGGCUGCAACUCGCCUGCAUGAAGCCGGAAUCGCUAGUAAUCGCGGAUCAGCAUGCCGCGGUGAAUACGUUCCCGGGCCUU
rnacentral:rRNA from 1 species